GAUGAACGCUGGCGGCGUGCCUAAUACAUGCAAGUCGAGCGAACAGACGAGGCGCUUGCGCCUCUGACGUUAGCGGCGGACGGGUGAGUAACACGUGUAUAACCUACCUAUAAUACUGGGAUAACUUCGGGAAACCGGCGCUAAUACCGGAUGAUAUAUUGAAGCGCAUGGUGCAAUAGUGAAAUUCGGCGUUGCUGUCACUUAUAGAUGCAUCUGCGCCGCAUUAGCUAGUUGGUAAGUUAACGGCUUACCAAGGCAACGAUGCGUAGACGAACUGAGAGGGUGAUAGCCCACACUGGAGCGGGGACACGGUCAAGGCGACUACGGGAGGGAGCAGUCGGCUACCUGAGGCAGUAGGGGGGAGCAUGGCGGAGCGGGCGGGAGUGAGUUAUGACGGCCCCGGGAGCGGAAUACCCUGUUAUGGGGGGAAAACAGAUGUGGCCGUUGCCGUACCCGUAUUGACGGUAAUGAGUAAGAAAGCACCGGCUAACUACGUG
rnacentral:rRNA from 1 species